GUGCCAGCAGCCGCGGUAAUACAGAGGUCUCAAGCGUUGUUCGGAUUCAUUGGGCGUAAAGGGUGCGUAGGUGGCGCCAUAAGUCAGGUGUGAAAUCUCGGGGCUUAACUCCGAAACUGCAUUUGAUACUGUGGUGCUUGAGGACUGGAGAGGAGACUGGAAUUCACGGUGUAGCAGUGAAAUGCGUAGAUAUCGUGAGGAAGACCAGUGGCGAAGGCGGGUCUCUGGACAGUUCCUGACACUGAGGCACGAAGGCCAGGGGAGCAAACGGGAUUAGAAACCCUAGUAGUCC
rnacentral:rRNA from 1 species